rnacentral:lncRNA from 1 species
UGAAGUGAAUAGUUGGCAACAGGAUAUCAUGUGAUUCAGGUGUAUAUUGAAGAAAUGUGAUUGCCGAUUUGCUUUUCUCUCUUUACAGUUUGUGUUUGUGUCUUUUCGCUUUUUCAGCCACUUUGUUGUAACAUGCUCAAUAUUCUUUGGGGUGGUUGGUGUUAUCAAGGACAGCACGUGAAGCCUGCUGGAAAUCACAUGAUGAUCAUUCUCCUCUGCCUGGUCUGUGUCCUGUGAUUCCUAAAUGUCUGUCAUGUGAUUGUACUUUUAAUGAUCUAGUGAUGUAUGAUUGUAUUCUCAGUUGCUUGAAACAUGCAUGCAUCAACUGGGGAACUGCUUGAAACAUCUGUUCCAUACACCUUAACUUUUUAAAAGAAAGAUUCUAUGAUUUGUUGGUGCGCCUGCUUUGAGCCUAAGCCAACCACAAGCAAAAAAGAAAUUGGCUAGCCAAUAUACUGGAUAAGGUUUUGGCUUCCCACGUUUUCUUCAAUGUUGGCAAAGAAAAAUAAAUUAGAAUUGGAUUAAGCAUGCGUUAAUAUUAGGAAUGAUUCAAGCAAUGCCCAAAAUUUUGGUCAUGACCAAUUUUUUUUCUUAACUGUGUGACAAAAAAUGGUACACCAUCUAUACAUGCCCACUUCAAGCUGAGGCAAAUUGCCUCAAGUUUGGAAAAGAAAGACACAACCUUUUUUUGAGGAAGAAAGACACUCGAUAAUGGCUACACUCUGCAUAUGCUCUUCUCGGCUGCUCAGCCAACCCCUCCUUGCCUAGCUGUUGGCGCGUGGUUUUUCCAUAGUUGCGGUUGGAAAUUGAUCAUUGCGAGGGAUGCACCUAGCCUAAAGCUAUUAGGCAUCCUCUGACCCGUACGGGCAUCUUCAAGGGAAUGCACCAAAAGUCCAAAACCCCUCUGCCCGUUCCGAUUUAUUUGUGGACGUGUUCAUGGAAAAAGCCCAUUUAUCCGUCAUAAAUUAGACACCUGGCGGCAUCCCCCAUUUGUCUGACCCUUUUUGUCCAUUUUCAUUUUCAGCCUAAAUUGAAUAUUCGAAAGACACAACUUAAAAAUAAAAAAUACAUAGUUCAAGUUUAGAAAUAUACAGUUUGAACAUAGAUAUUAAUCAGAGGACAUGUUUAAACAUAAAAAUACUCAAAAGUACGUCACAGAUCUAUUGACUUACAUGAUGUAUUCACAAAUGCUCUACAAGAUCAUUUAGAAGUUAUUGAUGCGCUUCUAGAUCUCGAAGUUGCUGAUGCAUAUUGAGCAAAUGUGCAACCUGAUAUGCCUCUUCUUCCAAGAGAUGGACAUAUGUGCCAUGGUUUUCAAAGUUAACAUUCUGUACACCAUCACCCUCAUCCUUCAAUCAUGUUGUGCAUGAUCAUACAAUUAGUCAUCAUCUUCUACAAUGUCUUGGGAUCCCACAUAUUUGUAGGUCCAUGUAUAAUAGCCCAUCAAGCUUGCAGCACCUCAAAUGCCCACUCCCCGUCCUUCCUAGCACCUUCUUGCAUUUGGGCAAAGAGAGUCUUUUUGUUACCUUGCGACUCGGUGUCAGUCUUCACAAUCGUCACCCAUUAAGGAAAAAUACCGGCAGCAACGUAGUACCACAUGGUGUACUCGUGCCCAUUGAUGGUAUAGUUGCACUCGGGAGCCUUGCAACACAAAGUCUUGCAAACAAUGACGAUCGCUGAAGCACGUCGAUGUUGCUAUGAGACCCUGGCUUGCCAAAGAAAGAGUGUCAAAUCUACAGGUCGUGUCAUGUCACUACUUCCGGUAUGAUGGUGGGCUCUCGGAGUAUGAUAUUGGUAUCGUCCUUAUGAACCUACUAGAUAGUUCUUCCAUUCCUAGUGCAUGCAAUUGAUGGAACCAGGCAUACCGGGAAACCCUCUUCAUUCUCCAAAUGCCAAAAGCUUGGCUGUGUCGGCAUAGUUGGUUCUCUCAAGUACUCUUUGCCAAACACCUUCACCACUAAAGUGGAAAAUCUGACCAUCGCUUUAAUACAUGACCUCUCUGCCAUCCGGAUACACUCAUCAACAGUGUUUGUCCCAUUGUAUCAUAUGCAGAUAUUCUCAUAGCAGCAGUGCAAUUCUAGAGACAAGAGAACCCAAGUAGCUUGGUGCAAUCCCUCUUUAGCGUGAAGUGUCAUAUUCGUUCACACCCUCCACAAUGCGUAAGAACACAUGCCUAUGCAUCCGAAAAUGAGGAUGAAAGAAGCCAUAAUGACAUGUCAGCUUGGCCCAUGAAUAGUCAGUGUAGAGUACCAACGCCACCCUUUCCCCUUUUUGGUUAUCAGUUAUCCUGCUCGACGUAGAACCCAUGAAGUUGAGAAUAUGCUCCUCUUCCUUCUUCGAUGCUCCGAGAAUACUCAACAUUAACAUAAACUCAUAGUCGUUGUCACCUUCGUCCCAUGUCGAUGAUAUGAAGAAUUCGUUGUAAUUAAAAGCAUCAUUGGUGUCCAUCUUUUGCACCCCACAAAUGUGCAACAAGAAAGCGGCCAAACUCUAUUUCAGACAUUUCGUUGAAUAAGUGGUGCACGAGGUGGACGGCAUUUGUGGUCGGGGGUCUAAGACAUACCAAGAGUGGCGUCCAUACGACGAGCGUGUUCGGGGGCAAUGAUCCGGGUGAGCGUGUGACUAGAUGGGGCGCGGGUUGGGGGAGGAACAGAGGAUGAAAGAAUGGAGAUAGGCGGAGGGAGGAAGGAAGCUCUAGGGUUUGAGAUGGGGCCCAUGUCUCGUCAGUCCGGACAACCCUCAUUUCUCCUCCACAUAUGGUCUGGGUUUGGAGAGUUCGGACAACCCAGGCAUAUAUCCUAGGUUUAGGGGAGGCCCUGCUGGAUGGCCUUUCGAUUGUGUUUGUAUCAUAAACGGCCAAUAACUCGUAUUUUUCCUCGAACGAUGCUUCUUUUGGAAUUGCGGAGAUCAUGCAUAUUCAACGUUUGUGUGUUAACAAACCUUUUCUUUUGCUUUUAUAUUUUUGAGAUUGCUCACCACAAGUGUCAUGUGGUGCCUGAGGGUAUCUCCAACGCCAACACAAACUAGACAACGCAUCCGUUCGUGGAUUGGGGGACCAGACCGCGGACACUGAUGCAAGGCCUACCAUCCAAUCAUAGCCGCAAAUGUCUGCACAUUUCGGAAGAAUUUAACGGAAGAGAACAAAUUUGAUGCAUAUUUAACAAACUGGACGAUAUUCAUUCAUAUUUUGAUGAUUUUUACAUAGAACUGGAUGCUUUUCAUCUAAGCUGGAGCAAGGUCAUUACAUCUUGACAUAUUCAACUAAAUUGUACUCUAAACCUAGUCUAAAUGACCGUUGGCGUCCAUUCCCCAUGCCUGACCGGUCAUGAGCCCCGAAAAAUGAAGCUCCGCCUCCGUAGCCUGCAAGCGACUAAUCCGGCAACGAUGAUGAGCCCGUCAAGCUUAGCUUCAAUGGGAAGGGAGGAGUGGUGUGGCCUUCCUGGGACCCGAGCGUCGGCGACCUCCCAUGCUCCACUCUUCUCGCUACCGGCGGCGCCCGCGGACGUGCCGUCUUCGUCCUCGUGGCAGCGGGGCGUGGUCGAGGUGGAGCUGGCGACGUCGUCCCUAUGGCACCGGGGCAAGGCCGACUUCAUCCACCACCUCAUCGAUCUCCUUGAAGGCGGCUUCUAACUCUGUCUGAUGGACGCAGUACCGCCAGCGGGUGCAGCAGAUGUCGCGGGCGGUGUGGUAGGAUUGGACCAGCGCCUCCUGCUCGCCCACGACCAUGUCCGGCGCGAUGCCCGUGCCGCCGACGAGUUGCUCCUUCGCACGCUGGUGCUCGUCGAGGAGGCGAUGGUUGUACGCCUGGUCGCCUUGCGCCUACAGGGACGUGGCAUAUGUCGCUUUUCCAACACCAUGUUGGUGUAGUGAGCUCGGGCCUCGCCCAUGGUGAUGCCGGCAUGGGCCGGCGAGGAAGUUGGCACAAGCUCGUUGUCGGCCGCCUCUUCCAUUGGGGCGUCCGCAGCGCUGGCCUUCGGUGAGCUUGUCCGUCUGCCGACCUGCCAGCCUACUGCAAUGGUGGCGAUCUCCUUUAUUUGCUCGGACUAGAGGCUGUCCCAGAGGGCUUUGGAGCUCGAGGAGGCCAUCAUGGGCAUGCCGUCGAGGGGAGUUAGGGAGCAGAGGAGGUUGAAUGCGGCUGUUGCCGAGCCUGAAGUUUAAAUAGCGUGCAGAUGGUAGGGCAUGCAACGAGGUGGCUAACGGUGGGUAACAGACGGAUGAACAGGUGACGCUGGAGCAGGUUCCUCGGCAACCGUGCAUGUUUAAUGUAGGGAGGCGGACAUACUGGAUGUCAUUUGAACGCCGAUCAGUCGCGUGCACCGGGAUGCGGCGCGGGCGGUGCUCUCAAUGCCGGAGCGACCUGAAAGGUUGCGUCCAUUUUGGGCAGGCAUGAAUGCGGCGGUGACGCUCUGGAGCGGCGGUGACCGCUUUGGACGGGAAACUGCUCGAGCGGAAGAGGGUUUGUGUGGGCCAGGGACAUUGGAUGUUUGCGUGGCAGCAAUCCAAACUCCCGCGAAGCCCCUCAGUUUACUUCCGGUUAAUCUCUGUCUCUACUGCUUAAUAAUCAAUCACCUUAAUAUACUUACCUUCUAAAACAAUUGCACUUUAAUUUAUUUGUCAAACUUCUAAUCAAAAUAUAAGGUAAUUCAAGGGUAUAAUUUGAUAUACAUUUAUUUACACAAUCACAUCAUUAUUAAUAGAUAAAUCACAAGCUAACAUGUUAAAAUAUUUAUAUCCUGUUGCGAUGCACGGACAUUAUUUUAGUACGAGAAAAAUGACAUUCGAACCAUCGAAUGAAUCCAUAUUGUGGGCAGUCUGAGGGUCCAACGGAGAUGCCAAACAACCCAAAAAAAAAAAAGAAGAAAAAGGCAGAGAAGAGUGUAAAUCUUCACACGCUGGCCGGGAACGUGAGCUUUGGCCCGAGCCGGCGCAAGCGACAGGCCCUCCCUCCGUUUCCAAAGAAAGGAUUGAAAAGAUUUUAGCCCAUCUGGGUUUUAGCUCCACAGCCACCGCCGCCAUGGCCGUCAUCCCACCCCUCUCACUCCUCCUCCUCCCCCUCCCACUCCUCCCCUAGCCUCGCGUCUGCCCCGAAUGGCGAGCGCCUCCAUCUCCUCUCUGUUCCUCGCGCCACCCGGAUUUCCCUGCCAGAUCGCCGGCCGCCUAGCCCCCGCCCCCAGAAUCCGUUCCUCGAGGCGCUUCGCGGCUGCCCGCUGCGAGGCCGCCCUCGUCCCGGCGUGGCGGCUCCGCGCGCCGCCCCGUCGCCGGAACGUGCUGCGCGACAAGGCCCCGCCGCCGCUGGUGGUUCGCCCUCCCAACCACGAGGCCCUCGAUUCUCGUCCGCAGCUGGACAAGGACCGCCCUCCUUUGGUUGGUCUUACUGGAGAACCGCAGUCUGCUUCGUCCGAUGAUCACGCGUUACCGGAUCCUGAGGAGAAAUCGGACAUUUCUGUUUGUCUAGAUGCCGGUCCAAGUGGGAAUGCAGUGGCUGAGUCCACCUUGGAUGGCCCGAAGGAUUUGGAUUGGGAUGCAGAGGAGAGCCAUCUCUGCGGCAAUGGGACCGGUCCUGUAUUCAGUGUAUAUGAAGACCCAGACGGCAAUGCAGUGCAUGUUGAGGUGAAUGAGGAUGAAAUCGUUAGCAGGUGUGUGAGUGCAGAUGGAGAAGGGAGUGGCGAUUUGCAGUCCAUGUUGUCUCGUGCAAGAGUAAUGGCUAAGGGGUUUGAAAGUGGCGAACGUGAGGUUCCGAAGAACAGCUCAUUGGUUCAGUUCGUAGCCACCGAGAAGAAGGAAUCGUGUGUUGCGGAUGCUGAUGUUUCAGUUGUGCAGACAAAUAGGACUGCUUCAAGGGCUGUUGCACAGGGUGGUUUUGCAGCAUUUUGUGGUGUGUGCAUUGUAUUGAUGGCGUCGAAGUUGAUUUGGAGGAACAUCAAGGCACCUUUUUCUAGAAAGUCGUUUCAUGUACCUAGACCAGGGAUGAGAGCUGGUCAAUUGGACAAGGGUAACGGCAUGGUAAUCAGUAAUGUACAUAAGUUUCCAGGAGAUUUACUGGUAAGACCGCAGUUAGAGAGGAUGGAAUUGAUGAACAACCUCAAAAAAGCCAAAAUGUCAAGAGAACGGUUUUCUUUCAGAAAUAUAUUUUGUUGCAGUACUGUUGCAAAUGAUGACAAUGCAAGAAUAACCGAGAUCAGAAGAAUGGUGACUGAUGUUCACACUCUAGAAGAAGGAAACCUUGGAAAAAGCAAAGGGGGAAACAAUAAUUCUGUUGUCUUUCCCCACCCAGUAGUUGCCACCGAGGAAGCAAUUUCAGCAAGUUAUGUUAGACAAUCCGUAGAUGAUGCAUCAGAGUUCGACAGUUGUGAAUUACCUAAUAUUAGUUCCUCCAAUGGUAUUAUUGAGGAAAGUGUCAAGCAGCCUGUGGAUUUUAAGAACGGAGCACCAACCGUAGACACAUGUGUAAAAGAUCAGUAUGUUAUUGGAGAAAUUGAACAGCCUGAGUUCAGGUAUAAUGAUGAGAGCACAGCUGAUGCAAAGGAUACAACUUCUGUCAUACAUGCAGCAGAAAAAGAACUACAUAUUUGUUCUGCAGAUGAUCAUAAUGUGAGUCCUAAUACCAUCAAUACCCCAUCACCUGAGUUUGAAAGAAAAGAACAGUUCGCGGAGAUAGCUGCUAGUAUUCAAGGACUAGAACCAUCUGAGCUGUUCAGUAGUGACAAACAGAUGAUUUGUAUAAAUGGUAGUGCUCACCAGAUCAUCAAUAAUGUUGUCCCAGAAACUGCUGAUGUUUUUUCACCUAAUUGCUUUAACAUUUCAUCAUCUGGGUUGAAAUACAACGGAGCAUCCCUAGCCAAUAGUGAAAAUGAUAUCAAUUGCAUGCAAGAAACUGAAGUACCGAUGGCCUUUGCAAAUGAUGCUCAGAUGGCUAACUGUGAAGGCUUUGCUCAUUGCGUAAGCAUAAUAGGUAAAGAAGCAUGUAAAGAUCCACUAAUGACCGAUAUAUCAACUAUGAAAUCACCUCAGAGAAUCAGUGAAGAGCCUGCGGAUUUGAUGACAUAUAACAUGCAAUGCAUGCAAGAACCAGAACCAUCCAACCAUGAUGGCAAAGAGGUAAUUUAUGCAAAUGCGAAGAACCAUAAGAAAGCCGUAGUACACAAUGAGACAAAGACUAGUUCAGAAACAGUUGAUGAAGCUAACACAUCUCCAUUAUACAUCCUACAAGAAACAGUUCAACACAGAGGUGCAGAAGUUGAAAUAUCAGAGAAGGAAGUGAAAAUCACUUCCUCCAACAAAGAAGCCAGAGGGCAUCUUAAAAAGGAUAAAGCGAAACUACAGAAAGAAAUGUUCAGUGACAAGGUACCUGGAACAAAGUUGUCAGCAGAAGGUGGUGUACCUGGAACUAGCAUUGUGGUUGAUCCAUCAAAUGGUGUACAGAAAACUAAAAGAGUGGCACGCAAACGGCUGAAGAAAGUGCAAACUAAUCAGGGAGCUGCAGAAAGAGUCACAGAACAAGAUGUCGCUCACAAUAGCAGCAUGGUUGGUCAGGAAAACAGUAGCCAGAAUGUUAGAAGGACAAGAAGAAAAAAUCAGACAAAUGCAUUUCACACCGAAGGAUCUCAAACAAGAGAAGAAAUUCCAGAAACAACUUCCAUGGAAAGUUUACCUGAUGAUGCACCAAUAGCUGAAAACAUGAAACCUCUUGUUAAGGCAGGUUCACCUGCUGGAACACUAUCUUCAGAGGUAUCAGUAAGAAACUAUUGAUUUGCAGUAUCCUUUGCAGAGCUGUUACUUAUAUGUUUCAAUAAGACAAUUUUAAUAUGGUGCUCUUUCAGCAGUAUCGUUCCGUAGUUUGGAAUUCGUCAUAAGGUCAUCUUUCUAACAAGGACCAGAUAACAACACUAGUGUAGAAGGAUUAGGAAAAUGGUAGGUGCUAGUUGUAAACUAAUGAACUCUUGAAUGUGCAAAAAACAUUGUAAGUAGGAACUUAUAGAAUUUUCUGGACAUAGUGAACUAUAUAUAACUUGUGAGUAAUACAGGAACUUGUGCAGUAACUCUCACGAAAUGCUGCAGGGAACAAGUGAUUCAAAAUGUAAGUAACAUAAGAUUAAAUGGCUUUCAGUAACUAUUCUUGAACAGCCUAUUUUGGAUCGGACUGUACAUCACUGGUUUGCAUAGGUAAUAAUUUAAAGAAAACCAUGACCUAAUCCUUGAGCUGGUCCUCCAAUGAGUAAAAUGCACACAUCGUCCUUCAACUCAGUCACUUAGAUCCAUGGACUUUGUAACCACAUAUUCAUCCAUUUAAACUUUUUAAAGGUUGCGCUAGAGGUUCAUAUCUGGUCGCGCAGUCUCUGACUGCUUCCGUGUGUGUUGACUAUGAAGCAUGACAUCCUUCCCAAUUACAUGGUGGCACUGGCAUGUCUUCUUCCUCAGACUGCAAAUCGCUGGUUUACAUUUACUUGCAUGAUGCUUGCAGCUUGCCGUACUACUAUUAUCAUAUUUUCUCUUGUUUGUUCCUGAAUCCUGGCGUUGUCAUGUUUCUAUUGAAGGAUAUUCUUAGGGAAUCUCAGCCAAGUAGGUUCAAUACCCAUACAAUGAGGAAGGAAGAGUUAAAACUCAAAUUCCAAGCUUCCGAAAGGAUGGAGGCAGCCGCAACGGAAACUAAAACCAAUAUGCACAACUAUAGUGCCAUGCAUGAGGGAUCAACUGAUUUUGACAAGUCGAAGACGAAGAUGGGUGUAGCUGCUGCCAAGAAGUCCACAAAGAGGUAGAUGUUUUCCUCAGAAUUCUCCUUUUUAUUGAGUCAAAGAUCAUAUAGAAUGGCUGUGUGAUUGGUAUGUACACACACUUGUCUGAAACUGUCCACUGCACACUUCCUUUACAGAAAAUCAUUGUCGAAGCGUACCAAGCCAAGUAAUCCAGUGUCAAAUAAAGACUCAGAGGAACCCACUGGUGACUGAUGUGCAUAAAGUGUUUCAAGUAAUGUCCUCUUCGUCUCCUUCGUGCAUAGGCAUUAAGGCAGUUUCUGGAGAGUUGCACUCAAUUAAUGUGCAGCAAAUUUCUUGGUGAGGAAUAGUGGCAAUAUUUGCAGUACAGGCAUCAACCGAAGAGGAUAACUUCUCUCGUCAAUCUGAAGUUCAUCUCUGCUGCUGAUGAAGGGGGUUGAGCUAACCAGGCUGCAUGGAAAAGAGCUUGGUAAAAUAUAGGCCAACAGGAUGGUGCUCCAGUAUUUUACAAAUACUUGACAGUCUAUAGGUCCUAUUCCAUUUAAGUUGGAGCAUCAUUAUGAAGUUUAGUCAAAAAUAGCAAAGUCUCAUAGGUGUAUACUUUGAACCAUGUUGUCCAAGUGGCAUCUAUUUUGGAGCAGAGGUGGCAAUAAAGUUAAAUGUACCUUCUGGUCUGCAAAAUCUAGAAAUAAAUGAAGAAAAAUAUUCAGAAUUAGGCAGCAAUAGGGGAUAAGUAUAAUAUUGUUAAAAACCAACAGUAACAACUCAAUAUGUUACUUCCCCCGCCAAAAAAAACAACUCAAUAUGUUACUUCACAAUUACAACCUUGCUCUUUUUAUCUGAUCGAAAGAUAUUUGUAAGAUGCAGCAAUUGCAAAAGAAGUAAGUUUCCGUGAACAUUUUUGUACAAUCCUUGUGCGGUUACAGAUACUGUUAACACAUCAGCGUAUUGCCAUAAACCAUACUUGGCUUACAAAUCCAAGGGAAGAUGGGACGUAAACUUAGUCCUGUUAGUGGAUCAAACUCGCAAACUUGACAGCAUAUAUUUCAUGGGACAGAUGAACAUGAUUUUUUUUUACUAUGAAACAAUUGGAACUAACCAGUAUACACGUAACAGAAUAGUAUUAAUCCUGUAGCUCAAUCUAAUGUAAAUGUUAGACUUUUCUCAUGCACGCAGUCAGCGCAUUACAGUGGACCAUUACACAUAUGAGUAAGUGGAUCGAUUCAGCAAAUAUUAUGAGUGAUUCGCACCACUGGCUCUUUAACCUUUUCAGUUUUGGUACCAAGUUCCUAAACAUGCAUAUUUGCUUGAACGUUGCUUAAUUUUAUCAACUACUCCCUCUGUUCAAUUUGAACUGCCAAAACGCCAUAUAUUUAGGAACGGAGGGAGUACAUCCAUUGGUCACAGAAAAUAUGUAGUAAUGUGCUAUGCGGAGAGGCAACAUGUUCACUCACCCUUCAUUUUGGAACCAAAUGACCAUUAAAAGUUUAAAGUAGCUACUGUAGGAUUGGAAUGAAGUGUAUGCUGUUUGUUUCUUAUGGAGAUCAUACUCAUUCCUGUUGCUUUUAGACUGCUUAAUCUGCUGGUGGAAUUUGCUUCCUAUAAAUCCCUCCACGAUUCCAUGCUGUCAUUGAGUUACUCUUCUAGUCAACAAGUUUAAUUGUUGUGUAUCAAAGCACGCAACAGGGAGAAUUUGGCCUGGUGGGGAGGCUUGGUUGGGAAUGGGUUUAGGUCAUAGGUGAAGUUGAUUUCUUAUUGCUUGAAUUUACUCCCUCCGUUUCUUUUUACUCUGCGUAUAAAAUUUGUUUGAAGUUAAACUACGCAAAGUUUGACCAAAUUUAUCUUAAAAAAUUAUCAACAUUUACAAUGCAAAAGUUACAUAGUAUGAAAAUUAGUUUCAUGAUGCAUCUAAUGAUAUUGAUUUCAUAUUGAGAAUGUUGAUUUUUUUUAAUAUAGUUGGUCAAACUUUAUGAAGUUUGACUUCAGACAAAAUUUAUAUGUAGACUAAAAUGAAAUGGAGGGAGUACCGAGUACAUGAUUGCCUUAUGAUUAACUUAGGUUUGAGAAAGCAAUCUCCAACUUAAGGUAACAAAUCUUGUCUAAUGGGAGAGUAAUCUUAGCAAAUGAUAGAGAAAUAAUUUAUAGAUAGAUAUGGGUGCAUCUGCCAUAUGUCUUGUGUCAUGUGUGCAGCCGGUGGCUGUAGGACCAAGGCCCACGUCCUCCUAGUCCAACCAUGACACUCAUGGUGCGGCAAAGCAUGUGUGACCUUCUAGUUGGUCCAAAUGGGACUGGAAAGUUGGAACUCCUCUUUGUGGAAAAUUUAUCAGGUCAGGUAGCAGCCACUUCAGCUCGAAGACCUAUUUUCAUGACCACAUAUACAGUUAUAGUUCUACUCGACUGGUGCAAUCAAGCAAGCGAAAUAAUCAUUAGAGAAAUUUCAUGUUAAGCAUUUUACACUGCCGCAAUGACACAACUUAUAGAACCUCAGGUACACUUCAAUCCUGACAUAUCAAGGAUAUGCCAGUUACAGUUCGAUAUUUACUCCACAAGCUUUGGGGGCAUGCUUCUGAUCUUCAUCCUAGCUCAAGGGAUUAUUUAUCCUUCAGACGUGUUGCACUAGUAUUUUUAACAUGCAUCUGCGCUUCGUCCUCUUUCUAGCUAUGACCAUUAUCCUUCAAACAGAUCUGACAGCAGCUCUUCAAGAUCUUCGGUGGUGUACUUCAUAAGCCUUUGAUACUUGUUUUUGUGAUUCUCAAGGUAUGCACUGUAAGCCUGAACAAGCUUCUCUGAUACUGAUUUACGCAUGUUGGACCGGAGCAGAGGAUUUUCAACUUUCCACGUCUUCUGAGUCCAGUAAGUUUUCUCAAAUUCCAUGUUAAAUAUUUGCAGUGUUGGUAGGCUAGAAAAGAUUGGGAUUUUGUUGGUCUUUACAUGGAAGCAAUACAUGACAGAUUCCCAAGAAAUGUUGAUGAACGAUGAGAUGUGGUCCUUUAGUUGGUCUUGGUGCUUCAGAACCCAAUCUUCUCCUAGAAGAUGCCUUAUCUCUGAGCCUUCUACUUGAUGCAACAAAAAGUUCACAUUAUUCACCAUGAACAUUUGUUUCAACCCUGCAUCUUUAUAUCGAUGAGAUUCUUUCUCAAGCAUAAUUUCCAUGUGAGAGAUCAAGGUAGCAACAGUAUCUUGCAGCGUCUCCAUUGCAACCUUGUCAUCCUGUUCAUCACCAACAAGUAUGAUCUUGAGAGAGGUGCCAUUGUCCAGAAGUGACAUGAUGUAUUUUAACAAGUAUCUGGUGAUCUCAUGGAUACCGCCACCUUGGGGGACUACGUCAGAUUUAUAGUCAAAGAUCAUGUCUUUGAGUACCCGAAGACCACUCCUUAUGCUUCUUCGCAAAUCAUGCAGUGCGUUUCCAAACCUUUCUGAUAGUGAUGCACCUCUUUUCGGGCAUAAUUCAUCGACAAACUGAGCGAAAUGUUGCAACAGGAAAGGGAAUAUAUUCUUGGGCAGGACCAGCAACAGGUUAGCAAGCGCUUCGUGGACUCGUAUCAUGGCCACGACGUGAUCUGGGUGUGGUGCUGUCGAGGUUACCACUUGUAUCAAAGAAAAUACAGACUCCAAGAGCCGGAUAUUUGAGUUCACCUUUGACCCCAUUGAAGAUCUUGCCCAGCGACUGAUCUCCUUGAUAGAAGUACUGUGACGCCCCCGAUUCAAUCGUACACUAAUCAUGCACGCAAACGUGUACGAUCAAGAUCAGGGACUCACGGGAAGAUAUCACAACACAACUCUAAAACAUAAAUAAGUCAUACAAGCAUCAUAAUACAAGCCAGGGGCCUCGAGGGCUCGAAUAUAAGUGCUCGAUCAUAGACGAGUCAGCGGAAGCAACAAUAUCUGAGUACAGACAUAAGUUAAACAAGUUUGCCUUAAGAAGGCUAGCACAAACUGGGAUACAGAUCGAAAGAGGCGCAGGCCUCCUGCCUAGGAUCCUCCUAAACUACUCCAGGUCGUCAUCAGCGGGCAACACGUAGUAGUAGGCACCUCCAGUGUAGUAGGGUCGUCGACGAUGGUGGCGUCUGGCUCCUGGACUCCAGCAUCUGGUUGCGACAACCAGAAAGAAAAGAAAGGGGAAAAAGGGGGGAGAAAGCAACCGUGAGUACUCAUCCAAAGUACUCGCAAGCAAGGAACUACACUACAUAUGCAUGGGUAUAUGUGUAAGGAGGCCAUAUCAGUGGACUGAACUGCAGAAUGCCAGAAUAAGAGGGGGAUAACUAAUCCUGUCGAAGACUACGCUUCUCGCAGCCACCGUCUUGCAUCAAGUAGAAGAGAGUAGAUUGAAGUCCUUCAAGUAGCAUCUCCAAGUAGCAUCUCAUAGCAUAAUCCUACCCGGCGAUCCCCUCCUCAUAUCCCUGAGGUAGAGCGACCACCGGUUGUAUCUGGCACUUGGAAGGGUGUGUUUUAUUAAGUAUCCGGUUCUAGUUGUCAUAAGGUCAAGGUACAACUCCAAGUCGUCCUGUUACCGAAGAUCACGGCUAUUCGAAUAGAUUAACUUCCCUGCAGGGGUGCACCACAUAGCCCAACACGCUCGAUCCCAUUUGGCCGGACACACUUUCCUGGGUCAUGCCCGGCCGCGGAAGAUCAACACGUCGCAGCCCCACCUAGGCAAAACAGAGAGGCCAGCACGCCGGUCUAAACCUAAGCGCACAGGGGUCUGGGCCCAUCGCCCAUAGCACACCUGCACGUUGCGUGGGCGGCCGGAAGCAGAACUGGCCCCCUUAAUACAAGAGCAGGCUUACGUUCCAAUCCGGCGCGCGCCGCUCCGUCGCUGACGUCUGAAGUGCUUCGGCUGAUACCACGACGCCGGGAUACCCAUAACUACUCCCGCGUAGAUGGUUAGUGCGUAUAGGCUCGUAGCCAACUCAGAUCAAAUACCAAGAUCUCGUUAAGCGUGUUAAGUAUCCGCGAACGCCGAACAGGGCCAUGCCCACCUCUCUCCUAGGCGGUCUCAACCUGCCCUGCCGCUCCGCCUCAAAGAUCCACUCGCGGGUGCUCCACCAGCCGACCCGACUUUAGUCUCCACAUGUAUCAUGUAUAAAGUAUAUAGUAUAUACCCGUGAUCACCUCCCGAGUGAUCACGGCCCAAUAGUAUAGCAAGGCAGACUGACAAGAAUGUAGGGCCAAUGAUGAUAAACUAGCAUCCUAUACUAAGCAUUUAGGAUUGCAGGUAAGGUAUCAACAGAUGUAGCAACAAUGUCAGGCUAUGCAUCAGAAUAGGAUCAACGGAAAGCAGUAACAGGCUACACUACUCUAAUGCAAGCAGUAUAGAAGAGAAUAGGCGAUAUCUGGUGAUCAAGGGGGGGGGCUUGCCUGGUUGCUCUGGCAAGAAAGAGGGGUCGUCAACUCCGUAGUCGAACUGGGCAGCAGCAGCGUCGGUCUCGUAGUCUACCGGAGAGAAAAGGGGGAAGAAACAAUGAAUACAAUGCAUAUCGAUGCAUGACAUGACAAGUAACGAUGCUAGGUGUGCCCAAUCGCGGUAGUAGGUGAUACCGACGAAGGGGGGAAACAUCCGAGAAAGUAUUCCCGGUGUUUCGCGUUUUCGGACAGAUGAACCGGAGGGGGAAAGUUGCGUGUUUGGUAUGUUAGAGGUGUGUGGUGGACGAACGGGCUGCGUAUCCGGGUUCGUCUCGUCGUUCUGAGCAACUUUCAUGUAGAAAGUAUUUUAAUCCGAGUUACGGAUUAAAAGAUAUGAUUUUCUAAAGAUUUUAUUAAUUUCUGAAAUUUAAUUAAUUAUUUAAUUAAUUCGAAAAUGGAUUUAUGAUGUCAGCAUGACGUCGUGCUGACGUGAGCAGUCAGCGUUGACCGUUUGACCUGGUCAACCUGACAUGUGGGUCCCGUGGGACCCACCUGUCAUACACUGUUAGGUUUAAUUAGGGUUUAGUUUAAUCCUAAUUACAGUUUUAUUAAAAUUAACUAGUUAAUUAAAUUAAUUAAACCGGAUUAAUUAACUUAAUUAAUUACUUAAUUAAUUAAUUAAUAGUUAAUUUGUUAAACCAUUUUUAUUUUUAUUAAUUAUAUUUAUUUUAAUUUGCUUAUUCAUUCGGGACCCACAUGUCAUAGACACAGGGGGCGGCCACGUCAGCGUUGACCGGUUCAACAGGCCGGCCGGGCCCUUGGGGGCCCACGGGUCAGUGACCCACGCGGUGGCCCCAGGCCGGCCACGUCGGCGGGCGGCGUUGACGCGCCGGCGGCGACCUCCAGGACGGCGGCGCGACACGUGACCUCACCGGAAACGUGCCACAGGGCACGACUGAGGGUGUCUGGGGGCUCUACGGGACGGGCGCGGUGCGCCGCGUCCGAUGGUGGCCGUGGUUGGCGCGGGGGUGGCCGGAGUUGAGCGCAUCGAGCUCAUCGGCGGCGAGGCGCUUCGGGCGGGGUACGGGAACGGGGUCUAAGGGGCGCAGGGGGCGUGGCCAGGGACGGGGCGAGAGGGAGGCGCGGGGUGCGGCAGUGCGCAACCCGGCGUGGCGGCGACGGCGGCCCUCAGGCACGGGCGUGCUCGCCGGGGCCGCGGCUCGUUGGUGGCGAUAAGGGGCGCGGCCGGCAUGGCGAACGCGAGCCCGUCCAGAGCUCGGGGCGUGGCNNNNNNNNNNNNNNNNNNNNNNNNNNNNNNNNNNNNNNNNNNNNNNNNNNNNNNNNNNNNNNNNNNNNNNNNNNNNNNNNNNNNNNNNNNNNNNNNNNNNNNNNNNNNNNNNNNNNNNNNNNNNNNNNNNNNNNNNNNNNNNNNNNNNNNNNNNNNNNNNNNNNNNNNNNNNNNNNNNNNNNNNNNNNNNNNNNNNNNNNNNNNNNNNNNNNNNNNNNNNNNNNNNNNNNNNNNNNNNNNNNNNNNNNNNNNNNNNNNNNNNNNNNNNNNNNNNNNNNNNNNNNNNNNNNNNNNNNNNNNNNNNNNNNNNNNNNNNNNNNNNNNNNNNNNNNNNNNNNNNNNNNNNUAUGGGAGUGAGGGGGGCCGGAUGGGCCAAUGGGCCGGUCGGCUGGGCCGGUUGGCCCAGUUGGCCAGAGGGUUUUCCCCCUGUAGUUAUUAGGUUUAUUUUCCUUUUCUUAUUUUUCCUUUUCUGUUUUAAUUCAUUUUAAAAUAUUCAGACACUUUAUAAAAAUGUGUGCACCCCACCAUAAUUAACCUUGUAAUAUUUGACAACCCCCGAACAUUUUAGUUUGAUUUUUUUGAAAACUUUUAUUGCCAUCAUAAUUUUGAAUUGAAUUUCGAAACCGUUUUGAUUUAACCCGAGAUUAACUACAGUGACAGAGGUGACGUGGCACCAUCAACGUGAGUUUACUGUAGCAUGAUUAUCCGGGCGUUACAAAUCUCCUCCACUACAAGAAAUCUCGUCCCGAGAUUUAGGAGGUAGAAGGAAACAGUGCGGGGUAUUCAUCACGAAGACGAUCCUCGCAUUCCCAGGUGGCUUCGUCUUCAGAGUGAUUCGACCACUGGACCUUGAGGAACUUGAUCGCCUUCUGACGUGUGCGGCGUUCAGCUUGGUCGAGAAUGCGGACCGGAUGCUCUUUAUAGGAGAGGUCCUGUUGCAAUUCGAGCACUUCAUGGUCCACUGCUCGGAUUGGGUCCUUGAAGCAGCGUCGGAGUUGUGACACGUGGAACACAUCGUGAACCUGAGAAAGGUUCGACGGAAGCUCCAGUUGAUAUGCCACCUUUCCACGCCUCUCGAGAAUAGUGAAUGGGCCAAUAUAGCGAGGAGCUAGCUUGCCCUUGAUCCCGAAGCGGUGAGCACCCUUCAUUGGUGUAACGCGAAGAUAGGCCUUUUCGCCAGGUUGAUAGACCAUGUCUUUAUGAUGACGGUCAUAAUUACUCUUUUGACAUGACUGAGCAGUCUUGAGAUUCUCGCGAAUAAUGCGGACUUGUUCUUCGGCAUGUUGGAUAAUAUCCGGACCGAAGAGUGGACGUUCCCCAGUUUCUGACCAGUUCAGAGGGGUUCGGCACUUUCGUCCAUAUAACACUUCGAAGGGGGCCAUCUUCAGACUAGCUUGAUAGCUAUUAUUAUAAGAGAACUCAGCAUACGGGAGAGAUUCCUCCCAUUUCUUGCCGAAGGAAAUAACACAAGCUCGAAGCAUGUCUUCGAGAACUUGGUUGAUACGUUCAACUUGCCCUUGUGACUGCGGAUGAAACGCAGUGCUGAAAGACAGAUGAGUGCCCAUAGCUUCUUGGAAACUUGCCUAGAAUCUUGAAGUGAAUAAACUGCCACGGUCUGAACUGAUAACCAGUGGAAUACCAUGAAGCGAAACAAUUCUGGACAUGUAGAGAGUUGCAAGCUGACUAGCAGUGAUCGUUUCUUUGACCGCCAGAAAAUGUGCAACCUUAGAAAGUCGGUCAAUGACGACAAGAAUAGCAUCAUUACCCUUUUGCGAUUUGGGAAAUCCAGUAACGAAGUCCAUCUCGACAUGGUCCCAUUUCCAUUCAGGAAUAGAUAUAGGUUGCAGAGUUCCAGCAGGCCUUUGAUGUUCUGCUUUGAUACGACGGCAAACGUCACAUUCAGCAACAUAACGAGCAAUGUCUUGCUUCAUGUUAGACCACCAGAAUCUCUGGCGGAUGUCUUGGUACAUCUUUGUACUACCAGGGUGGAUACAUAGAGGCGUAUCAUGAGCUUCUUUCAUAACCUCCUGAGUCAUAUUCAGGUUUUCCUUCUUACAUGGCACCACUAGGCGGCCUUUGAAGUACAAGGCGCCAUCAUCAGCAAUAGUGAAGGAUGAGGGACUUCCUUCUUUGAGGUCUUGCUUAAUCUUGUAGACUUCAGAGUCAAAUCCCUGCAUUGUCUUUAUGGUGCCCACGAGAUCGGGUUCAACAGCCAGGGUAUAGAGGGAACCCUGGGAAACAACACGGAGAUUCAUCUUGCGGAACUCCGGAGGAGGGGGAGCGAGUGCACCCGGAGGAACAAUAUGGAGGUUUAGCUUUCUGAAUUCUUCAACAAGUGAGGGCUGAACUUUGUGAACCUGGAGGUGGUUGCAGUAAGACUUGCGGCUCAAGGCAUCAGCCAUUACAUUAGCCUUGCCUGGUGUAUAGGAAAUACCCAAAUCAAAGUCUGCAACAGUCUCCAUCCAUCUCUGCUGACGGAGGUUCAGGUCUGGCUGAGUAAAUAGAUACUUCAGACUUUGGUGGUCAGUGAAGAUCUCGCAACGAUUACCGAGUAGGUAAUGUCGCCACUGUUUUAACGCAUGAAUGACAGCAGCAAGUUCGAGGUCGUGAACUGGGUAGUUCUCUUCGUGAGGGCGCAAUUGCCGAGAGGCAUAAGCAACCACUUUGCGCUCUUGCAUUAGGACACAGCCUAGUCCUUGACGGGAAGCGUCGUAGUAAAUGACGAAGUCCUUCUUAGUAUCAGGAGGAGCUAGUACUGGGGCAGAAGUCAACUUGUCCUUGAGUGCCUGGAAACUUUCCUGACAUUUAUCUGUCCAUUGGAACUUGACGCCCUUAUGCAAUAGGUUAGUCAGAGGCCUGGCAAUCUUAGAGAAGUUCUCGACGAAUCGACGGCAGUAGCUGGCGAGACCGAGAAAACUUCUGACUUGCUUAACGUUCUUCGGAGGAGUCCAAUCGAGAAUAGCCUGAACUCGUUCAGGGUUGACGGCAAUACCAUCCUUAGAGAUGACAUGCCCGAGAUAGGUUACUUCGGGAAGCCAGAAUUCACACUUGGAGAACUUGGCAUAUAGCUGAUGCUCUUGUAGCUUUUCCAGCACAAGACGAAGAUGUUCAGCAUGUUCUUCUUCACUCUUGGAAAAUAUCAGGAUAUCAUCCAGAUAAACCACGACGAACUUGUCGAGGUAAUCCAUGAAUAUAUAGUUCAUCAGGCGAGAGAAGGUGGCUGGAGCAUUGAUUAAGCCGAAAGACAUGACGGUGUACUCGUAUGAACCAUAACGAGUCACAAAGGCGGUCUUGGGGAUAUCCUCCUCACGAACACGGAUCUGGUGGUAACCCAACCUCAAGUCGAGUUUAGAGAACACUGAUGAACCAGCCAAUUGAUCAUACAGAUCAUUGAUCCGAGGAAGAGGAUACUUAUUCUGAAUGGUAGCUUGGUUUAUAGGACGGUAGUCUUGGACCAAUCGGUUUGUCCCAUCUUUCUUCUUGACAAAGAGAGAAGGUGCUCCCCAAGGAGAGCAACUUGGGCGAAUGAAACCACUUCGAAGAGAUUUAUCGAUUUCCUCCUUAAGCUCAAGGAGUUCAUGCGGCGGCAUCUUGUAGGGUCGCUUGGCUAUAGGAGUAGUGCCUGGUUUCAAGUCGAUGACGAAUUCGACAGCUCUAGCGGGGGGAAUCCCUGGGAGUUCUUCUGGAAAGACGUCGAGGAAGUCACGCACGACGGGAAUGUUUUCAAUGCCCUUGAGUGGUGCGGCGUUCAAUGCAUUCAAUGCAUAGAGCCUUACCUCGGCAUUCUUAACCAGAUGGGCAUUGUAGCUUAUUAUCUCAUCAGAAGGGUGUAGCAGAUGGACGGUCUUGGUGGCGCAAACGAUAGAAGCAGUAUGCGCCUUUAACCAAUCCAUUCCCAGAAUGAGGUCAAUGCUACAGGACUUCAGUACGAUGGGAGAGACAAGGAAUUCCAGUCCUUCGAUUUCUACAGGGACGUCGUUGCAAAUCAUGGAGGUUCGACAUUGGCCCGCAGGAGUGUGUACUAAUAGUGAAGCAUUCAUGUCCUCACAUUUAAUGUCGUGCAAGCAUGCAAAAUCUUCUGACAUGAAUGAAUGCGAUGCACCUGUAUCGAAUAAAACAGAUGCAGGUACUGAAUUUACGAGGAGUGUACCCAUCACAGUAGCAGGCUGGUCUUGAGCUUCAUUCAGAUCAACGUGGUUGGCAUGAACACGGCCAUAAGACUUGGCAUUGUUAUUGCGGGUCUGGUUGUUUCCACGGCCAGCGGCUGGAAGGGCUAGUUGAUUCUGAUUCUGAAUGCAAUCCCUAGCACGGUGACCUGGUUGACCACACUUGUAGCACAGGCCAUUAUUGGGAGUGGGAACAGGAACUUGGGGUGGUGGAGCUGGAAGCCUUGGCUGCCUAGUUGGAGCAGUAGGCAGACGAGGUGCAGCAUAAGACUGCCUUGGGGCUGGUGCAUUUGGACGGUACAUGCUGUUCGGGAUCCAUAUCUUACGCUUCUGCGAGGGCGGGCCCGAAGAUGAGCCUGUGUCACGGUUGCGCCUUUGAGAGCUCUGGUGUUCUUGCAGACCAGUCUCAACAUUGAUGGCCUUAUUCACCAAGGUGGCGAAAUCAGCAAAGUCGUUUACUAGAAGUGCGAGCUUGAUGUCAGCUUGAAGGCCGUCACAGAACUUCUCCUGCCUGCGAGCAUCAGUUGCAAUGUCUUCUUCAGCAUAGCGGGAUAAAUCCAGAAAUUUGCGCUGAUAAGCUUCCACAGUUUUGUUGCCCUGGGUGAGGUUGCGGAACUCACGCUUCUUCCUGUCCAUGAUUCCUUGAGGGAUGAAGCGGGCACGGAAAGCAGCCUGGAAGUCUGGCAGGUGAUGAUUGUUCCAACUGGCAGAGUACGCCUGUGGCUGUCCCACCAUUGAGCUGCGGGUCCCUUCAGGAAGAAGGAAGCAAAAGUGACAUAGCUGGCAGGGGCUACAUCAGCCGACUCCAUCUCAUAGGUGAUGUCACGGAGCCAGUCAUCAGCAUCCAGCGACUGGGUUGAGCUGCGGUACACACUUGGGUUGAGGCGUAUGAAAUCCUGCAGAGUUGUUGUGUUUGGAUGCUGGUUCAUAUUGGGGCGAGGAAACUGAGCCAUCACAUUUUCCAUGAACUGGCGAUUCAUCUCAAGCUGUUGGAUCAUACCAGCCAUGUACUCAGGCGGUGGUGGGAAGUUGCCACCACGACCACGACCAGCUGGUCUAACCAUCCUGCUAGUAUAUAACAGGGGUAGCUCAGUAUUGAGAAAUUUGCAUAGACAAGAAUCAUUCAUGAUGAAACAUGCAUAAUGAAAGGAGCACGACACAUACCACAUAGAUAGUCGGCAUAACUUACAAAAGGGGUCGGACAUAGAGCUCAGUACACAGAGUCCAGUACAUAGACUAAGUCAUUAUAGGCGGCACGCAGGCUCGCGAAUGCAUCUAAUACUAAUGAGCAAGACUACAUCAGUCCCAGGAGGUACUGUGAAGGUAGCUGUAACCUGACAGCUGGUAGUGAGGCAACGGAUAGUCCUCCACGUCAGUGGCCUGGGGGCCGCGGAUACUCUGGUGUAGAACCCGACGCUCAGGUGGCAGAAGAGGACCAAGUGCGGGAGAGUAGCCUCCCACCUCUGGCCAUCCGACACCGUGGGGCAUCACGGUCCUGGCUGGGUAGAUCGCAGAACGCGGCAGCUGUCCAGACCGGGCAAAGGGGUGCAACAGCGUCAGAGCCCGGUAAAGGUGCUGACGAGUGGUGUACAACUCGUGGCGAAGAGCUCUGUUAGCUCGGUCCAGCCCAUCAGCAUGCAGAACCAGGCGCUGAUGGUGGAAGGGCUCUCGGGUGACGGUGGAGUAGGCGGCAGUGUAGUAUCCCUCCGUGCCAACGUCAGAUGCGAUAGGAAUGUGUCUGAAAGGGGAAGUGUCCAACGCCUGAUACUCUCCACGAAGACGUGUCAGAGCAGCAUGAGCAGCAUCGUGGACUGCCAUCUCGAUGGUCACUCCAACACCAUGAGCGGUGUGCAGCACGGUAGUGGACUCAUACUCCCGAGAGUAGAGGUGGACGAUGGCACGGUACUGCUCCUGGUUAAAGUCCUGGUACUCCUCGUAGACGGUGUACUCAGGGUGCCAGCGAUAACCCAGAUAGGUCAUCAUAUCAGCUAGCACAACAGGUGAUCCUGAGGCACCAAUGGCCGCAGUGUGGCGCACGACCUGCCUCGUGGGUUCCAUGUGAAAACAAAGAUGUUUCAAUGGAGUCAAAUGACAACAUGGGCACUAUUCAAAAUGCUAUCCUGCAGAAUAACUAUGGCUUAUCCAACUUUGGGGUGAACGUGGUAACGGGAUCCUAAUGUCAGAGUUAGUAAAUUCGUUUAACCCGAGUAGAAAAGAGUUCAGAGUCCCAGAGUAAAGGUCGAGGAGUAAAAGAUCCUAGUACCACCCGAUGGCUACGUGGGCCCGUAAGGCACACAGCCAAGUUAGUAAAAGUUUUUGUAAUGUCUAGACUCGACUUCGGCCAAGGAGUGUGGAAGGGGGAUUCCUACAGGCAGUCGGCUCUGAUACCAACUUGUGACGCCCCCGAUUCAAUCGUACACUAAUCAUGCACGCAAACGUGUACGAUCAAGAUCAGGGACUCACGGGAAGAUAUCACAACACAACUCUAAAACAUAAAUAAGUCAUACAAGCAUCAUAAUACAAGCCAGGGGCCUCGAGGGCUCGAAUACAAGUGCUCGAUCAUAGACGAGUCAGCGGAAGCAACAAUAUCUGAGUACAGACAUAAGUUAAACAAGUUUGCCUUAAGAAGGCUAGCACAAACUGGGAUACAGAUCGAAAGAGGCGCAGGCCUCCUGCCUGGGAUCCUCCUAAACUACUCCAGGUCGUCAUCAGCGGGUAGCACGUAGUAGUAGGCACCUCCAGUGUAGUAGGGGUCGUCGUCAAUGGUGGCGUCUGGCUCCUGGACUCCAGCAUCUGGUUGCGACAACCAGAAAGAAAGGAAAGGGGAAAAAGGGGGGAGAAAGCAACCGUGAGUACUCAUCCAAAGUACUCGCAAGCAAGGAACUACACUACAUAUGCAUGGGUAUAUGUGUAAGGAGGCCAUAUCAGUGGAUUGAACUGCAGAAUGCCAGAAUAAGAGGGGGAUAACUAAUCCUGUCGAAGACUACGCUUCUCGCAGCCACCGUCUUGCAUCAAGUAGAAGAGAGUAGAUUGAAGUCCUUCAAGUAGCAUCUCCAAGUAGCAUCUCAUAGCAUAAUCCUACCCGGCGAUCCCCUCCUCAUAUCCCUGAGGUAAAGCGACCACCGGUUGUAUCUGGCACUUGGAAGGGUGUGUUUUAUUAAGUAUCCGGUUCUAGUUGUCAUAAGGUCAAGGUACAACUCCAAGUCAUCCUGUUACCGAAGAUCACGUCUAUUCGAAUAGAUUAACUUCCCUGCAGGGGUGCACCACAUAGCCCAACACGCUCGAUCCCAUUUGGCCGGACACACUUUCCUGGGUCAUGCCCGGCCGCGGAAGAUCAACACGUCGCAGCCCCACCUAGGCAAAACAGAGAGGCCAGCACGCUGGUCUAAACCUAAGCGCACAGGGGUCUGGGCCCAUCGCCCAUAGCACACCUGCACGUUGCGUGGGCGGCCGGAAGCAGAACUGGCCCCCUUAAUACAAGAGCAGGCUUACGUUCCAAUCCGGCGCGCGCCGCUCCGUCGCUGACGUCUGAAGUGCUUCGGCUGAUACCACGACGCCGGGAUACCCAUAACUACUCCCGCGUAGAUGGUUAGUGCGUAUAGGCUCGUAGCCAACUCAGAUCAAAUACCAAGAUCUCGUUAAGCAUGUUAAGUAUCCGCGAACGCCGAACAGGGCCAGGCCCACCUCUCUCCUAGGCGGUCUCAACCUGCCCUGCCGCUCCGCCUCAAAGAUCCACUCGCGGGUGCUCCACCAGCCGACCCGACUUUAGUCUCCACAUGUAUCAUGUAUAAAGUAUAUAGUAUAUACCCGUGAUCACCUCCCGAGUGAUCACGGCCCAAUAGUAUAGCAAGGCAGACUGACAAGAAUGUAGGGCCAAUGAUGAUAAACUAGCAUCCUAUACUAAGCAUUUAGGAUUGCAGGUAAGGUAUCAACAGAUGUAGCAACAAUGUCAGGCUAUGCAUCAGAAUAGGAUCAACGGAAAGCAGUAACAGGCUACACUACUCUAAUGCAAGCAGUAUAGAAGAGAAUAGGCGAUAUCUGGUGAUCAAGGGGGGGGGCUUGCCUGGUUGCUCUGGCAAGAAGGAGGGGUCGUCAACUCCGUAGUCGAACUGGGCAGCAGCAGCGUCGGUCUCGUAGUCUACCGGAGAGAAGAGGGGGAAGAAACAAUGAAUACAAUGCAUAUCGAUGCAUGACAUGACAAGUAACGAUGCUAGGUGUGCCCAAUCGCGGUAGUAGGUGAUACCGACGAAGGGGGGAAACAUCCGAGAAAGUAUUCCCGGUGUUUCGCGUUUUCGGACAGAUGAACCGGAGGGGGAAAGUUGCGUGUUUGGUAUGUUAGAGGUGUGUGGUGGACGAACGGGCUGCGUAUCCGGGUUCGUCUCGUCGUUCUGAGCAACUUUCAUGUAGAAAGUAUUUUAAUCCGAGUUACGGAUUAAAAGAUAUGAUUUUCUAAAGAUUUUAUUAAUUUCUGAAAUUUAAUUAAUUAUUUAAUUAAUUCGAAAAUGGAUUUAUGACGUCAGCAUGACGUCGUGCUGACGUCAGCAGUCAGCGUUGACCGUUUGACCUGGUCAACCUGACAUGUGGGUCCCGUGGGACCCACCUGUCAUACAUUGUUAGGUUUAAUUAGGGUUUAGUUUAAUCCUAAUUACAGUUUUAUUAAAAUUAACUAGUUAAUUAAAUUAAUUAAACCGGAUUAAUUAACUUAAUUAAUUACUUAAUUAAUUAAUUAAUAGUUAAUUUGUUAAACCAUUUUUAUUUUAUUAAUUAUAUUUAUUUUAAUUUGCUUAUUCAUUCGGGACCCACAUGUCAUAGACACAGGGGGCGGCCACAUCAGCGUUGACCGGUUCAACAGGCCGGCCGGGCCCUUGGGGGCCCACGGGUCAGUGACCCACGCGGUGGCCCCAGGCCGGCCACGUCGGCGGGCGGCGUUGACGCGCCGGCGGCGACCUCCAGGACGGCGGCGCGGCACGUGACCUCACCGGAAACGCGCCACAGGGCACGGUUGAGGGUGUCUGGGGGCUCUACGGGACGGGCGCNNNNNNNNNNNNNNNNNNNNNNNNNNNNNNNNNNNNNNNNNNNNNNNNNNNNNNNNNNNNNNNNNNNNNNNNNNNNNNNNNNNNNNNNNNNNNNNNNNNNNNNNNNNNNNNNNNNNNNNNNNNNNNNNNNNNNNNNNNNNNNNNNNNNNNNNNNNNNNNNNNNNNNNNNNNNNNNNNNNNNNNNNNNNNNNNNNNNNNNNNNNNNNNNNNNNNNNNNNNNNNNNNNNNNNNNNNNNNNNNNNNNNNNNNNNNNNNNNNNNNNNNNNNNNNNNNNNNNNNNNNNNNNNNNNNNNNNNNNNNNNNNNNNNNNNNNNNNNNNNNNNNNNNNNNNNNNNNNNNNNNNNNNNNNNNNNNNNNNNNNNNNNNNNNNNNNNNNNNNNNNNNNNNNNNNNNNNNNNNNNNNNNNNNNNNNNNNNNNNNNNNNNNNNNNNNNNNNNNNNNNNNNNNNNNNNNNNNNNNNNNNNNNNNNNNNNNNNNNNNNNNNNNNNNNNNNNNNNNNNNNNNNNNNNNNNNNNNNNNNNNNNNNNNNNNNNNNNNNNNNNNNNNNNNNNNNNNNNNNNNNNNNNNNNNNNNNNNNNNNNNNNNNNNNNNNNNNNNNNNNNNNNNNNNNNNNNNNNNNNNNNNNNNNNNNNNNNNNNNNNNNNNNNNNNNNNNNNNNNNNNNNNNNNNNNNNNNNNNNNNNNNNNNNNNNNNNNNNNNNNNNNNNNNNNNNNNNNNNNNNNNNNNNNNNNNNNNNNNNNNNNNNNNNNNNNNNNNNNNNNNNNNNNNNNNNNNNNNNNNNNNNNNNNNNNNNNNNNNNNNNNNNNNNNNNNNNNNNNNNNNNNNNNNNNNNNNGGGAGGAGGUCGAGGCGGCGGCCGUCCGGCGAUGUGGUCCCGGCGUCGGGGUCAACGGGAUCGGGGCCGAUCCCGAUCCAGAUCGGUGAGGGAGGAGAAGGGGAUCGAGGGGGAGUGGGGGGGAGGCGUCGGCUAGGGUUUCGCCGCCCGGGGUGGGGUUAUGGGAGUGAGGGGGGCCGGAUGGGCCAAUGGGCCGGUCGGCUGGGCCGGUUGGCCCAGUUGGCCAGAGGGUUUUCCCCCAGUAGUUAUUAGGUUUAUUUUCCUUUUCUUAUUUUUCCUUUUCUGUUUUAAUUCAUUUUAAAAUAUUCAGACACUUUAUAAAAAUGUGUGCACCCCACCAUAAUUAUCCUUGUAAUAUUUGACAACCCCCGAACAUUUUAGUUUGAUUUUUUUGAAAAACUUUUAUUGCCAUCAUAAUUUUGAAUUGAAUUUCGAAACCGUUUUGAUUUAACCCGAGAUUAACUACAGUAACAGAGGUGACGUGGCACCAUCAACGUGAGUUUACUGUAGCAUGAUUAUCCGGGCGUUACAAGUACUUACGUUCUUGAGCAGCUUUGAUGGUGAACAGAGGUCUGGAUGCUCCCAGCCAUUGAUUUCUUGCGUAGGGAACUUCGCUGCUGAUUCAAGAAGAUCCUCAUGCUGCUGAAGCUUCUUUCCCUGUAUGAAUUCCGUACCUCCUGUGAUUGCUAGUGCUGGGUUUUCUUCCUUGGGAAACUUCGCUGCUGAUUCCGGAAGAUCCUGAUGCUGCGGAAGCUUCUUUCCCUGUGUGAAUUCAGGAAUUCCUGUGGCUGCUAGCGCCAGCUUGUGAUCCUGAUGCUGCUGAAGCUUCUUUCCCUGUGUGAAUUCAGGAGUUCCUGUGGCUGCUAGCGCCGGCUUGUGAUCACCGGCACAUCCGGCUUGAACUAUGUGCUGGAUUGCGGCGGGGCUUAUUGCCGCGACGGCAAAGGGGUUUGGGGUGGCAGGGGUGCUGCAGCCUGUGGAGAUGGAGGAGCUGGGGCAGCUACUCAGCGUCGGAGUAGAAGCAUAGCUGCUCACGGUGGAAGCAGGACUCCUUGGGAACGCCAUUUCCCAUUCGGCGAUUCUGCAGGGACUGGCUAAGGUUUUGCACCAGCAACUAGCUGCUGAACUCAUGUAAGCUUCCCCUCAACCGCGUUCUCGCAAAAAACCGAUAAGCGCGUCGAUGGCUUAGUGGGCACCGCAAAACAGCUUCGCCGUAUAUAUAUAUAUAUAUUUUUAACUGGCUGACUAUAAACCAGAAGGACGAGGGUGCCAGACAAUGACCACUCGAUGUGACGGCUGCAGCGGAAGCUGAGUACCAGGCAAUCAUUUUGUGAAGAAAAGAACGAUGUAUAGGAGGGAUAUGACGGGGUAAUUUUGAUGGAUAUGUUUGAGCUUUUUGCGGAUCUUAUAUUGGAUUGGGUUAAAUAUGCAUAUUCUGCAAGAACCCGGUUGAUGGGUAAAGAUAUCAGGUGACCACCCUUCACAUGCUCCAUGCUCCAAAUUUUGGAAAGUCACAUUUAGAUGUUUCAAAAAAUUCUGAAUUUUUUUAUGGAUGUUCACAAUACAUAUGUCCAUAACCCCUAAGGGCUUCUUUGAUUCAAAGGAAUUUUAUAGGAUUUCUAGAGGAUUGAAAUCCUUAGGAUUUUUUCCUAUGUUGGUCCUUUGAUUCAUAGGAUUAGAUUUCAUAGGAAUUUUUCCUAUGGAAUAUUUUGUACUACAUUUCAUAGGAAACCUAACGUCCACUCCAACCUCUUUUUACAAUUCCUUUGUUUUUUCUGUGACAUCAAACACUCAUUGCUAAUCCUAUAGGAUUCAAGUGGGCAUGCCACUCCAACCCUAUACUUUUCCUAUUCCUACAUUUUUAAAAUCCUACGAAUCAAAGAGGCCCUAAAAAGUUCGGAUCAAAAUUUGAAAUAUACAUUGGGAAACAAAAACCACAAAUUCAUAUGUGACCCUAUUCAUGUUUUGUCUUGUUUUGACACUAUUCAUUUUAGAUUUGUCUUUCUUGCUCCGCAAUGUGUGUUCUGAAUUUGGAUCUAAAUUUCUUAGGGUCUAUAGUCACAUGCCUUGUGAACAUUCACAAAAAAUCCAGAAUCCCCCCCAAGGUCAGGUCAUUGACCUGUCGUUCCCUAUUGUGUUGUGUAAAUGAUCUUUCCCGCAGGAAGGCUCACACGAACGCACAACGUUUUUCCUUAGCAUUUUCUUAAAAGAUCUCUCAAAUUGUCAUGCUAUAAGAGCAUCUACAGCUGAACUUGACAAAUUCGACCCUUCAACGCGUCCGCUGUUAAUGACUGGUCACGCCUCAAAUUUCCCUUCUCACAACCGGACACCUCAAUUAACAUACCUCAAAUUCAUACAAACUCAUGCAACUUACAUCAACGAUGCAUUACACACGUCCGACUACUACAUCAGGACAUUGCCAUCGGACUACCAAAAACUGACAUGUUUAACCUACAUGCUAGCUAUGGAGAAGAUCAUCCACGGCUGUCCUUGCCCUUCCGAGCGCCCUUGCUCAUCAUGCCUCAAAUGCAGACGGCCAUUGCCUCCUCCAAACUGCACGAGAUAACACCCCAGUCGACAGAUCUGUAUUGGUCGUCGUCGGAUCCAUUGCCCGCCAUGCCGGAGAAGGCCGGAGAUCGCCAGACGGGAGCUUGGGUGGUGGAGGGGAGUGGAGUGAAGUGGCUAGGGUUUGGCCCUGAUAGCAGAUGGGGAGGAAUAUAUGUGGGGUCAGGUGGACCAGCGUGGGCCGGGUCCGACGUGGCGAACGCGCCCAAGCGCCCUUAUAUCCGCCCUCGAUUUGGACUGGAUAUGAGGGGUGCCGGUCAGUCCGGGCGUUUGAGGCCCGUUUGAGACGCCCGUCUGGGUCACUUUUUUGUGACCGGUCAUUGACUGGCCGUCCGCCCAGACGUACGAGGAGGAUUUGGGGUGCCUGGCUGUUGGGGUGUCAGGAACAUAGGGAUGCAGUGCUAUUCUGUUGAAAUGAAUAGUACAAACCCAUCACCUGCAAAUAUUCAGAAGAUCAACUGUAGCAGCACUCAAAUAUUGAUAGAUAGGUUCCUUCUGUUAGAAAACGAGAGACAGGUUCUACUCAGAAGUAAGACAAUCUGACACGCUCAUAGGCAAAUCUAACCUAGAUAAUGCUUCCCAAGUGAUAACAAGUUGAACCAGCCUUGUCUUCUGCUUGAUGACGCACCUAGCAACAAGAAACUGAUUUCAGGUGAGUACAAAUAAAUCUAUUUGAUUCAUAUGCAUUCUUGACAUAGGGGUGGAGCGCUAUUCCACUGAACUGAAUAGCACAGAAAGCCGUCACCUGCAAAUAUUCAGAAGAUCAACUCUACUAGCACAUAAAACUUGAUAGAUAGGUUCUGUUUAGAAGGAAAGCAAUCUCACACGUUCAUAGGCAAAUCCAUUUUGAUAAUGCUUCCAAGUGAAAAUAAAGUUGAAUCAUCCUAUCAAAUCUUCUGCUUGAUUAUAUAUAUAUAUAUAUAUAUAUAUAUAUAUAUAUAGGAGUGGGAUUUUCUACAAGUGCUUGCCACAGAACUAGUUAAGGGUUUCAACGAUGCAAAAGUUCUUAAAAUUUCUGAAAAAAAUACUGAACCAACACACCUAUAAUAUAACAUGAUCCAACGGAGGGAUUAAAAAAAUAUGACUGUAUGUGUCCUGGACAAAAAAACAAAUAGUUCAGUAUAUAUUUAUGUCGUAGUGAGCUGAAAUGCUUAUUAUUUUUGCCGAGGACACAUAGAUGCAUAUUUUGACAAUCCCUCCGUUGGAUCAUCUUAUUACAUUAGAGAGAUGCUCUCAUAUUUAUUUCAUAUUUUUUGAUAACUUUUAAACCAUUAAAAGUUUAGCAACCCUUAACUAGUUUUGUGGCAAGCUAUGUUAGACAUAGUUUUACCUAUAUAUAUAUAUACACACACACAUAUAUAUAUAUAUUAUGGAUAACCUGCUUUAUGAUGCAGCUAGCAACACGAAAUUGCUUUCAGCUGAGUCCAAACAAAUAUAAAAUUGUUGGGCUUCUUUGAUUCAAAGGAAUUUUAUAGGAUUUCUAGAGGAUUGAAAUCCUUAGGAUUUUUUCCUAUGUUGGUCCUUUGAUUCAUAGGAUUAGAUUCCAUAGAAAUUUUUUCUAUGGAAUAUUUUGUACUACAUUUCAUAGGAAACCUAACAUCCACUCCAACCUUUUUUUACAAUUCCUUUGUUUUUUCUGUGACAUCAAACACUCAUUGCUAAUCCUAUAGGAUUCAAGUGGACAUGCCACUCCAACCCUAUACUUUUCCUAUUCCUACAUUUUUAAAAUCCUAGUUUGUAUUGGUUGGGGUGCGCCUGGCCUGGGCAAUAGUGCAACGCCCAGGCAACACACAAGGGCCCCACUAGCAAGCUAGUGUGGUGGACCCUCCCUCAUAAAAAAUAAAUUUAAUAUCGUUGUAGGCACAUGGCCCACAUAUCAGAUAUUAAACUGAUAAGAACAGAUACUACACUUGAUCUUAGCCAAAAGGCCGAGAAAGGUAUGCUUUAGAACCCUGCCCUCCGCCUCCUCUUAUAGCUCUGUUGGCCGACUGCGCUGCUUCCGCGGGCGAGGUGGGACUAAACAAGUUAACAGUGAGUCAUUAGAAACCUGCCUGUGCGUUUCCCUACCAUUGCUUCCGUUUUGGACUUCUUGGCCCAACUAAAGAAUAGUAGCCCAGAUGCCUCAACAGGCCAGCAAUUAUGUGGCUUAACUCAGUCAUGGCCUGAUCAGGGUAGUACAUAAUUAGUUGUCAAGUACUAGUAAACGAGUUAAUAGUUAAUUAACUAUUGCUGGCUCCUGCAACUCAUCCAAUAAUUCAUAUCUGGUUAACAACGUUUCCUAAAUUAGUUUAUUUAAAUAUAGCAAUAUAAUAAAAGCAAGUUUUUGUCAUUUGGGUGUUCAGGGAUUUAACUUCAAGGACUCGAUGAACCUGUGAAAGCUAUUAAAACGAAAUCUAAACUACCCCAAUUAGCAUUGCUCCCAGAGAAGUCUUUCCAUUGUUCCUGUCAGUUCAGUGUGCCAGCCACUUCCUGAAUUUAUUCUUAGUCAGAACAGUAUUAGUAGCCACACAUUCUGCGAUACUUUCUUUCUCUUCCUUGAUCCAAACCGAACCACUCUGCGCGGAUGAAUGCCUUGUAGCCAUCAACUGGGAAGAAAUUAAAGUGCUGCCCCCGUCAACACAACAUCUGCUGAAUAUUACAACAGUACUAUACCCUGCAGAAAUGCAACUCUUUAUAACCAACUACUACCGGAUAGUGCGCGGCGGCAUGCCACGCUCCAUUAGUUGGUUCGAGAGUUGUUUUUCUUGGUGCGGAAAACAGUACUCCCUCUGUCUCAAAAUGCAAGACUUUUUUUUAAGUCAGACUAUGACAGUGUCAAGAAAACGUCUUAUAUUUUGAGACAGAGGGAGUGUGUGUUAGUUGUUUACUUGCAAAAUUUAUACAUAGUUCACACUGCAGCAACCACACAACUUCUAGAACCUCAGGUACAGUUCAAUCUUAACAUAUCAAGGAUAUAUCAGUUACAGUUCCAUAUUCAGUACGCAAGCUUUGGAAGCAUGCAUCUGAAUCGGAUCUUCCUCCUAGCUCAAGGGGCCAUUUAUCCUUCAGAUUUGUUGACAAGUAUUGUCACAUGCAUCUGUGCUUUAUCCUCUUUUUAGCUAUGCCCAUUAUCCUUCAAACAGAUCUGACAACAGUUCUUCAAGAUCUUCAGGGGUGUACUUCAUAAGCUUUGGAGCUUUGUUUUUGAGAUUCUCAAGGUAUGUACUGUAAGCCUGGACAAGAUUCUCUGAUACUGAUUUACGCAUAUUGGACCGGAGCAGAGGAUUUUCAACUUUCCAUGUCUUCUGAGUCCAGUAAGUUUUAUCAAAUUCCAUGUUAAAUAUCUGCAGUGUUGGUAGGCUAGAAAAGAUUUGGAUUUUGUUGGUCUUUGCAUGGAAGCAAUACAUGACGGAUUCCCAAGAAAUGUUGAUGAACCGUGAGAUGUGGUCCUUCAGUUGGUCUCGGUGCUUCAGAACCCAAUCCUCUCCUAGAAGAUACUUUAUCUCUGAGCCUUCUACUUGAUGCAACACAAAGCUCACGUUAUUCACCAUGAACAUUUGUUUCAACCCUGCAUCUUUAUAUCGAUGAGAUUCUUUCUCAAGCAUGAUUUCCAAGUGACAGAUCAAGGUAGCAACAGCAUCUUGCAGCGUCUCCAUUUCAACCAUGCCAUCCUGAUCCUGUUCAUUGCCGACAAGUAUGAGUUUGAGAGAUCUGCCAUUGUCCAGCAGUGACACGAUAUAUUUCAACAAAUAUUUGGUGAUCUCAUGGAUACCACCACCUUGUGGGACUACUUCAGAUGUAUAAUCAAAGAUCUUGACAUUGAGUACCUGAAGACCACUCCUUAUGCUUCUUCGCAAAUCAUGCAGUGUCUUCUCAAACCUUGCUGAUAAAGAUGCACCUCCCUUUGGGCUUAAUUCAUCUACAAUCUGAGCGAAAUUUUGCACCAGGAAAGGGAAGAUGUUCUUGGGCAGGACAAGCAACAGGUUAGCAAGCGCAUCAUGGACCCGUAUCAUGUCGACGAUGUGAUCUGGGUGUGGUGCUGUCGAAGUUACCACUUGUAUCAAAGAAAGUACGGACUCCAAGAGCCGGAUAUUUGAGUUCACCUUUACUCCCGGCGAAGAUCUUGCCCAGCGACUGAUCUCCUUGAUGGAAGUACUUACGUUCUUGAGUUGCUUGGAUGGUGAACAGAGGUAUGGAUGCUCCCAGCCAUUGAUUUCUUGCUUAGGGAACUUCGCUGCUGAUUCCGGAGGAUCCUGAUCCUGAUCCUGAUGUCCGGCUGGAGCUACUAGCCCUGUCUCGGUGGGGACUAUUGCCGUGGCCGUAAAUGAGCUUGGGUUGCUGCUGCCUAUGGAGAUGUAGGAGCUGGAGCAGCUGCUCAGCGUCGAAGUAGAAGCACAGCUGCUCAUACUGGAAUCAGGGCUCCUUGGAAACGCCAUUUCCAAGUUCCAACUCAGUGAUUCUCCUAGGGCUGAGGUUUUGCAACAGCAAGUAGCUGCUGAGCUCUGUAAGCUUCUUCUUGACCGCGUUAUUGCAGAAACUGCUCCCUAUCUUUGGCGCUUUGUUUUCGACUCUGCUCGCUUGGGUAGCGAGGUCGCCGGUUCGUUUGGUACACAGCCUUUGGGCUGAUGUGUGUGUGUGUGUCGUUUUUCCUUAUUAACUGACCAUUUUUCUUUCUUCUUAACGAAAAGGCAGGUUCUUCAGAAAGAAAAAAAAGAAAACUUUGCCGCGUCGCGGGAAAGCGCGUCAGUGAUUUGAUUGGUAGCGCAAAACAGCUGUCAAGGUGCAAUUAUAUUGUAUGAUGUUAGUGGGUUACUGUAAACCACAAGGACGAGGUGUACACUGACCCCUGGACGUGACAGGCUGAGAUUUUUUUCCCUUGGAGGGAAAAACCUGUGUACUUUAAUUCAUAUCAAGAGGCCAACGAUAGAAGCUGACCGGGACAUGGUGGAUGCCUGGAUGGCGACGCGUAAAAUAAAUAGACUGAAUGGAAAUUCUAAUUGGUAAUGGUUUUGCUGCAGGCAUGUAAUGGUUCGGUGUUGGCAGUAUGUGGCUAUGCUUGCGGAAAUGCAUACGGGAAGGUCUAGUGAUGGGAGGGGUCUAAUCCGGGCGUUGGAUCGAGAUCGUAUGGUUCAUCAAAGAGGUGGCAAUUGGUAAAGUAAGUAAUAUCCCAAGUGUCUACAUACACUAUUUAUUUCAUUUUUGCUUGGUCCUACAUGCUAUUUUCUUCUUCUUUUGUUUAGCAUAAAAUAAAACAUAGGAAAGGCUAAAUAUCUAACGUUAGAUUUUUACUCAUGGCAAAUCGAGCGUUUUUCAUGGCAAUUUAUAUUGGGCCAAAAAUGGCAAAAUUACUUUGCAAGCAAGACAAUUUCCUGACCAAAAAAAAAAAA